CGGCGGUGUGUGUGUGUGCUGAUAAGCCCGGUGAUUUGCUCAAAUGGGGAAGAAGCAAACAACUCUCUCUCUCCUCCUUCAUCUCUCUCUUCUUCUUCCGCUGUUUACUUCAGCUACUGCUUAACCCUCUCAAACCCCAGUUUCCAUUUUUCAGUUUUGAAACCUCUCCCUCUGCUUUUCAUCAAUUCCCCACAUUUUCUCUGGUUAUUUUCUUACCCGCCAAACACCACCAUCAGCAACCCUAACUCGCUCUCACCUCCCAAGUCCCAACCCAUCUCGAAUUCUCAGCUCACAAACACAUAUGCAGCUUCUGCAGUCUGGAUUUGUAUGCGGAGUGUAAAUCUUGCAACGUAGGAGGAUUUUAGAUCUGAGAGCUUUGGAUGCCAAAAUCUCAAACUGCUUAUGAAUGUGCAGACAGAAUCACACUGCUCCAUUUCUGCUGUCUGUACGUUUGUUUAAGUUGUAACAGACAGUGCUACCUUGACACCUGUCUCUACCAAAUCAAAACCCACAACACUGUUCAAGAGCGGAGAGACUGUGAAGAGUUAAACUGUGCAGGCUUUGGUUUGCUGCUUUUGAAAGCACGCUGCAGGAACUGCAAAAAGCUUUAAGAGAGAGAGAGAGAGAGAGUCUCUCGCCUGACUUGGACCGUGAUAUAUCAGCACCGUAAAAGAGGCCUUUUUAUCACUACAGAGCCAAAGUACCCUCUCUGAAUAUUAUCGUCAUCAAUGCAUAGGACACUGCAACCCCACCUCCUCCUCCUCCAGUCCUCCCCCUCUUUCUCUCUCUAAAACCACUCUCUCUCUCCCCCCUUCUUUCUCUAGAGAGACCUAGUGGUGCAGAAGGAUAAGAACGAACCAAAGCAAAAGAAAAGAAAGUCCCAAAAUUGAAUGAGUCUUUGUAUGAGAAAGGCAUGAAACUACUGCUAUGGAGGUGGAGGAGAUACAAGCCAGCAACAAGUUCCCAAGAAUCGGAAAUGGCAGCAGCAGAGACCACAAGCCAUCACCCGAAGACGACGACAAUCAAGACCCAUCAUGCCUAGAGGUCAAGAGGGACGCCGCCACCACAGCCGCAGCCGAUGCGGGCAACCGUCUCCGCGGUUGGCACCAUUCCCGCAUCAUCCGCGUUUCCAGAGCCUCCGGCGGCAAAGAUCGGCACAGCAAGGUCUGGACUUCAAAAGGGUUGAGAGACCGGAGGGUCCGGUUGUCUGUAACCACCGCCAUAGAGUUAUACGAUCUCCAAGAUCGGUUGAAUUACGACCAGCCCAGCAAAGCAAUUGAGUGGCUGAUCAAAGCCGCCGCCGAUGCCAUCGCUGAGCUCCCUUCUCUGAACAAUUCUUCGUUCCCCGACACGCCUAAGCAGCUCAGCGACGAGAAGAGGGCGAGCUGCGAGCGUGGAGGGUUUGAUUCGGCAGAGAUUGAGUUCGAUCAGAACUACAACCAGAAUCAGAACCAGACCGGGAACCAAAGUCAGCACCUUUCCUUGUCGAAAUCCGCUUGCUCCAGUACUUCCGAGACCAGCAAGGGAUCCGGGCUGUCCCUUUCUCGGUCGGAGGUUCGGGUGAACCGGUCCAAGGCCCGGGAGCGGGCAAGAGAAAGAGCCGCCAAGGACAAGGACAAAGAAAGCAUUGAGUCAGCUUACCCGCACAACAUUUCCCAACAAAAUUCUUCUUUCACUGAACUUCUCACCGCCGGCAUCGGCACUGCUCACAACAACAACGAUUCUCGGACCGCAUCUGCUCAUCAUCAUCAGCAGAAUCAUGGCUGCGGCGGCGGCGAGCCCAUUUUGUUCCACAAGGCACCAGCACCAAUGGAUUACUUCAGUCCCGGGCUUCUCGGGUUGUCCUCCUCGGCCCGGACUCAUCACUCGGCCGGAUUCUCCGGACAAAUCCAUUUGGGGAUGAACUCUAUUCCGCAGACAAUGUCGGUUGUCUCCCCGUUCAAUGUGUCCGGGGAACAUCAUCACGGACAUCACAGUUCGGAGCUUCAGCACUUCUCGUUUGUUCCCGACCUCAUCCCGGUCACGACCUCGUCGGAACCGGGCAAUGGCGGUGACUACAACCUGAACUUUUCGAUCUCUUCUUCCGGCGGCCUUGCUGGUUUCAAUAGGGGGACCCUUCAGUCCAAUUCUUCCUCUUCACCGUCUCUUAUGCCUCAUCACCUUCAGAGGUUUUCUCCCAUAGACGGAUCGUCCAAUGUACCCUUCUUCAUUGGAGCUGCUGCGGCCGCGGCCGCGCCAACCAUGGAGAAUCAUCACCACCACCACCACCACCACCACCAUCAGCAGCACCAACAGCAAUUCCCAGGUGGAUUUGAUCGCCGCUUGCAGCAACUCUACGGAGACGGAACCCGGCAUGCAGACCACAAGGGCAAAGCAAAGAACUGAUUUGUCUCAACGAUCAGUCCUUGGCAACCUAUCUAAAGCUUCUUUCUGGGAUUCCACAUUUGACAAAGCAAGUUCUAUUCACACACCCUUUUUGACCAUUUAUCUUCAAUUCAUUCAAUCCGACGGUCGAAAAUUGAGAGGAGCAUGUGAGAAGUAAACAUAGGUGCGUGGAUGGCACUACCCAUUUGACAAAUAUGGUGACAGAAUCAAUAACUGCCAUUAAUAACAAAACUAAUGCAAUAACAAAAGAAUUGCAGGAGAUGCAUGCUUGGUCAAAGGAAUUUUUUCAAAGAAAGUGAAGCUAAACAAGUAAUGGUGGAAAGCUGUGGGGGGAAUAGCAUGUAGUUUUCCGCAUCGGAUGAUAGCUUUAUAUUAUUAUCCUUCUGAAAUUGUUGCUAUUUCUGCUUUUAACCAUUUUCCAGUUCUAUAUUUUCGGAUAUAUAUACAUAUAUAUUUAUCUGUCUGUGUGCGCGCGCAAUAGCAAUAGCAUUGUCUGUGUUGAAGAUGUAACUGACAAUUCGAUUGAAGUUAUAUAUUCUUUUGCUCAUUUUCUUGCUCUGCAAGUCA